rnacentral:rRNA from 1 species
UGAUCCUGGCUCAGGAUGAACGCUGGCGGCGUGGAUAAGGCAUGCAAGUCGAACGCUCCGCAGCAAUGCGGAGAGUGGCAAACGGGUUAGUAACACGUAGGAACGUACCGACGAGAUGGGGAUAACUCCGCGAAAGCGGGGCUAAUACCCGAUGGUCCCCGAGAGUAAUCAAGGGGUAAAGCAGCAAUGCACUCGUUGAGCGGCCUGCGUACUAUCAGCUUGUUGGUAGGGUAAUGGCCUACCAAGGCUAUGACGGUUAGGGGGUGUGAGAGCACGGCCCCCAACAUCGGAACUGAGAUACUGUCCGGACUCCUACGGGAGGCUGCAGUCAAGAACCUUCGACAAUGCGCGAAAGCGUGAUCGAGCGACGCCGCGUGACCGAAGACGCCCUUCGGGGUGUAAAGGUCUUUUCUAUGGGAACAAUUUUUGAGCGUACUAUAGGAAUAAGGGGCUGCUAAACUCGUGCCAGCAGCCGCGGUAAGACGAGUGCCCCAAGCGUUAUCCGAAUUUACUGGGCGUAAAGGGUCCGUAGGGGGUUUUGUUAGUCCCAGGUUAAAUUUCAAGGCUCAACUUUGAAGCUGCCUGGGAAACGGCAAAACUAGAGUGUGUGAGAGGCUGAAGGAACGCACGGUGUAGGGGUGAAAUCCGUUGAUAUCGUGCGGAACACCAAAGGCGAAGGCAAUCAGCUGGCGCAUCACUGACCCUGAGGGACGAAAGCGUGGGGAGCAAAAAGGAUUAGAUACCCUUGUAGUCCACGCCCUAAACGUUGGAUGCUAGCUGUAUAAAGUAUCGACCCUUUAUGUGGCGAAGCUAACGCGUUAAGCAUCCCGCCUGGGAAGUACGAUCGCAAGAUUAAAACUCAAAGGAAUAGACGGGAGCUCGCACAAGCGGUGGAGCAUGUGGUUUAAUUCGACAGUAAACGAGGAACCUUACCAGGGCUAGACUGCCAGAUGAAACCCCGCAGAAACGUGGGGCUACCCACAAGGACAUCUGGUUCAGGUGUUGCACGGUUGUCGUCAGCUCGUGUCGUGAGAUGUCCCCUUAAUUGGGUCAACGAGCGCAACCCCUAUUAGAUGUUAUAAGUGUCAUCUAAGACUGCCUCGGGAUACGGGGAGGAAGGCGGGGAUGACGUCAAAUCAGCGUGAUCCUUUGAUGCCCUGGGCUACACACAUGCUACAAUGGCCGGUACAAUGGGUUGCCAAGCCGUAAGGCGGAGCCAAUCCCAUCAAAACCGGUCUCAGUUCGGAUUGAGGGCUGAAACUCGCCCUCAUGAAGUAGGAAUCGCUAGUAAUCGCGGAUCAGCUAUGCCGCGGUGAAUACGUUCCCGAGCUUUGUACUCACCGCCCGUCAAGCCAGGGGAGCCGGUAGUUCUGGAAACGCCACUUCGGUGGUGUUAAAGAAAGAUCGGUAACAAGGGCUAAGUCGUAACAAGGCAUCCGUAGCGGAAGCUGUGGAUGGAUCACCUCCUUUCUAGA